AGAAUUCCAUGAACUCCAUAGUUCAUGGGGUUACAGAGCACUGGACAUGACUGAAAGACUUUCACUUACUUCCUGACUUUAUAGGUCAUCAUGGUUGCCCAACAGAAAGAACUUCCAGGUGAUUCUGCACAUUUCAUCAUCAAAUUCAAAAUAGAGGAAAUUCCUAGAGAUGCAUUCAAGGAGCAUCUACAGGGACUUCAACUGUGCUGCAGUAAAUCUAGAUUGAAAAUUCAGUCUAUACUUUUCUACUAAACUACACAGUCCCAUGGAUAGAGAUCACUAAUGGAGAAGUGGGAUUAAACUGCUUAGUUCUACCGUUCUCUGAUCCAGGUCAGUGGAGCUCAAGCAGUCAUGGCCAACCACAUCAUGCUCUACACCGGCGCUAAGAUGCCCAUCUUGGGGCUGGGCACCUGGAAGUCCCCUCCAGGCAAAGUGACAGAGGCUGUGAAGGUGGCGAUUGACCUUGGGUACCGUCACAUUGACUGUGCCCACAUGUACCAGAAUGAGAAUGAGGUGGGUUUGGCCCUCCAGGCAAAGCUGCAGGAGAAGGUGGUGAAGCGUGAGGACCUCUUCAUCGUCAGCAAGCUGUGGUGCACGUAUCAUGACAAGGACCUGGUGAAAGGUGCCUGCCAGAAGACGCUCAGCGGCCUGAAGCUGGACUACCUGGACCUCUACCUCAUCCACUGGCCCACGGGCUUCAAGCCUGGGAAAGACUUCUCCCCGUUGGAUGAGGACAGCAACGUGAUUCCCAGUGAAAAAGAUUUCGUGGAUACCUGGACAGCCAUGGAAGAGCUGGUGGGCGAAGGGCUGGUGAAAGCUAUUGGAGUCUCCAACUUCAGCCAUCUCCAAGUGGAGAAGAUCUUAAGCAAACCUGGCUUAAAAUACAAGCCGGCAGUUAACCAGAUUGAGUGCCACCCAUCCCUCACUCAGGAGAAGUUAAUCCAGCACUGCAACUCCAAAGGCAUUGUGGUGACUGCCUGUAGUCCCCUUGGCUCUCCAGACAGGCCCGGGGCCAAACCCUAGGACCCUUCCAUACUGGAGGACCCCAGGAUCAAAGCGAUUGCAGACAUGCACAAUAAAACCACAGCCCAGGUGCUGAUCCGAUUCCCCGUGCAGAGGAACCUGACCGUGAUCCCCAAGUCAGUGACGCCUGAACGCAUUGCUGACAACUUCCAGGUCUUUGACUUUGAACUGGACAAGGAGGAUAUGAACACCUUGCUCAGCUUCAACAGGGCCUGGAGGGCCUGUGCCUUGGUGAGCUGUGCCUGCCACAGGGAUUACCCCUUUCACGAGGAGUUUUGAAGGAGGUUUGAAGCUGCGGGUCCCUGCCCUUGCCCAGGUGACCUGCCGUCUCCCACCUCACUUCUCUUACGUUUAGCGUAAUUUGGUCCGUGUCCCUCAGUGGUGGGUCAUCAAGGGCUCGGCCAGCUUGGUGUCGGGUCCAAAGAGCAGAAUCAGUAGAUUAGUAGAAAUCUUUUCAGUUUUCCUUUGCCCUUCUAGUCUGGAGAACUGGGGAACAUGCAACCCAAAUACUCUUUUCUAAAUUGCAUUUACAGAAUCAGAAUAGUGCCUCUAACAGUGGGGUUUUGAUUGCUUGGAACUGUAAUCCUUUCAGCUAGACUUUUCUUUGCCUCAAAUAAAAAGUGCUCUUACGAGUUUGAAAAA